UCCUUUUAUUCACCUUCUGACCGACCAAAGAUUGAUCUGAACAUCUUCGUCAUUCUCUUUUUUACUCUUUUCACUGGAGGACACACGCUCUUAUGUUAUAAGUGUACAAGUAUCACUGGUUAUUGUGUGAAUGCAGUGGUGACAUGUCCCCCUGAAUAUGCAUGUACAAGUCAAAUAGAUGUGAAAUCCAAAGGUGGAACUACACGCAAAAUGCUGAAGAAGGGCUGUGAUCGGCCACUGGUCUGUGUGAACAAUUACUAUAAUGUUGGCGUUGAGAGAAGCUCUGUGCAGUGUUGUAACACAGACCUCUGUAAUACAC